GCUGCUGGCGGUCUGCAUCGCUGGACUCUUCAUCUGGAGGAGGAACAAUAACGGGUUUCGCCCUGCUAACACGGGGCAGUGAACAUAGAAGAGAAUGCUGAACUCCACAACUUAUCGUCUCAGAGGACUUUACAAUCUGUACAACAAAUGGCGUUCUCUACCCUUCAUUUGGAUAAAGAAAACCCCCCAAACUCAUUUAAUAAAUCUCUCUAAUGAGAGCUGCUCAUCUGAUUUGAUGCCAUACUGAAGGAGGGAAGAAGUGUUCGGAUGGACUUGCAUUUAUAUAGCACUUUUCUAGUCUUCCGACCACUCAAAGCUCUUUACACUACAUGUCAGCAUUCACCCAUUCACACACACAUUCAUACACUGAUGGCAGAAGCUGCUAAGGUGCCAA